rnacentral:tRNA from 1 species
GGAGGGUAUAGCUCAGUGGUAGAGCACAUGCUUAGCAUGCAUGAGGUCCUGGGUUCAAUCCCCAGUACCUCCA